rnacentral:rRNA from 1 species
UACGUAGGGGGCGAGCGUUGUCCGGAUUUAUUGGGUCGUAAAGAGCUCGUAGGCGGUUUGGUAAGUCGGGUGUGAAAUCUCCACGCUCAACGUGGAGGGGCCACUCGAUACUGCCAUGACUCGAGUCCGGUAGAGGAGUGUGGAAUUCCCGGUGUAGCGGUGAAAUGCGCAGAUAUCGGGAGGAACACCCGUAGCGAAGGCGGCACUCUGGGCCGGAACUGACGCUGAGGAGCGAAAGCGUGGGGAGCAAACAGGG